rnacentral:rRNA from 1 species
AACGAACGCUGGCGGCAUGCCUAACACAUGCAAGUCGAACGAGACCUUCGGGUCUAGUGGCGCACGGGUGCGUAACGCGUGGGAACCUGCCCUUAGGUUCGGAAUAACUCCCCGAAAGGGGUGCUAAUACCGGAUAAUGUCUUCGGACCAAAGAUUUAUCGCCUUUGGAUGGGCCCGCGUUGGAUUAGCUAGUUGGUAGGGUAAAAGCCUACCAAGGCGACGAUCCAUAGCUGGUCUGAGAGGAUGAUAAGCCACACUGGGACUGAGACACGGCCCAGACUCCUACGGGAGGCAGCAGUGGGGAAUAUUGGACAAUGGGCGAAAGCCUGAUCCAGCAAUGCCGCGUGAGUGAUGAAGGCCUUAGGGUUGUAAAGCUCUUUUACCCGGGAUGAUAAUGACAGUACCGGGAGAAUAAGCACCGGCUAACUCCGUG